rnacentral:rRNA from 1 species
CGAGAGCAAGCGGACCUCAUAAAGUGCGUCGUAGUCCGGAUUGGAGUCUGCAACUCGACUCCAUGAAGUCGGAAUCGCUAGUAAUCGUGGAUCAGAAUGCCACGGUGAAUACGUUCCCGGGCCUUGUACACACCGCCCGUCACACCAUGGGAGUGGGUUGCAAAAGAAGUAGGUAGCUUAACCUUCGGGAGGGCGCUUACCACUUUGUGAUUCAUGACUGGGGUGAAGUCGUAACAAGGUAACCGUAGGGGAACCUGCGGUUGGAUCACCUCCUUACCUUAAAGAAGC